AAGGGAGAACGCGCCGGAGUCGGGACUGCACUGCGAUUGGAGGGUUCUCGGCGGCGCGAGGGCCUGAGUGAAGUCGGUGCCAGUCUGUGUGCCCCGGUCUUGGUAGGCUUCCGGAUCCGUUCUAGGGUGAUAUCUGGGUCUUGUCUCCGGAUUCCCGGGCGUCCUCGGUGUCCUGCAGGCGUCGCGUCUUUCCAGAACUCCAGCACCCAUGCUUCUCAAGAUGUUCAUUGCUAAUACAUUAAGAGAGAAAAAGAGAGAGCAGCUAUCAAACAGGAACUCUCACCACUUCCAGCAACAUGGGAUCUGCACCUAUAUCUCUUCUGCCUCUGUGGAAUAAGGGACCUGAUCUCACUUGAGGCCAGGCCCAUCACCUGGAUCCUGUGCCCAUCUUCUGGAGGAGAGGACAUUGGUGAUCACAGUUGUCUCUGCCUGGAAGAGUCUCUCCCUGGAUCCUUACAUGGUGGGUUCCUUCUAACCUUCUGGUUUCUGCUCCAUUAUUGCCUCCUCAGAGAGGCUCUCCCUGACCCCCUUGUGUAAAGUAGGUUGUUCCUGGCCUAGGACCUGGGUUAUUUUCUUCCUAACACUUAGCUCACUAACUUCUUUGUUCAUUGGUUGGUUGGUUGGUAUUCUCUCACUCCCCAGAUAAGUGCUACGUGACCAGCUUGUACAAGAGCACCACACACCUAUUAAGAGAGGCUCUCAUUAAUGUUAUGGAAUGCCUAAUAAAAGGUCACCUGACA